CUCACCUAGAUUGCUGAUAAAUGCUGGACACCUCCUCUGGUAACCUUUAUGUGGCUUCUUCUGUUGAUCUGAUGAUACCUUUAACUGGACAGGCUCACCUUCCUGCAGAGGAGAUAGAAGUGAUAAUGAAGAGUAUCCAGUGGGUGGAAGUUCACAAGGCUCACAAGAGCAGGGCCAACAGAAAUGAUGCAACUUGAACAGCUGCUGCAAGCUCCUGUGUCCAGGAUUUCCCCACAAUGAUGAGCUUUAUCCAAAAAUGGUACAGAGGCAAAAGAAGUGGAUGUGAAGCCUGAAGAAUAAUCUUGAGGUCUCAAAAUGGGAUGGACACAGUACUCAUCAAGGUGUUGGCAGCAGCCUACACUGACUAAUUUUAUGGUCCCCACACUUGUCUUUGCGACCUUGAAGAAUAGACCAUACAUGGAAUUGGAAUGAGAAUGUCUCAUGGUUUGUAAAAAUUGGGCCAUGGGGCAGAUGCUUGCUGUGGGAUGUUCUGUAUGGCAAAUGUGUUGCUGAUUGGUCAAUAAAACACUGAUUGGCCGUUGGCUAGGCAGGAAGUAUAGGCGGGACAAGGAGGAGAAUAAAGCUUGGAAG